GUCAGCCUUGGCCUUGGCUCUGCCCACAUGUUAGCAGAAGAUGAUUCAAGGACAUUAAGCACGCUGGUGGUUCCAAUUCAAAUGCUAAUGGAGGGAGGGACAGAGGUGUACAACAGAAGGACAGUCUCUGAAGUGUCCUACCAAAGAGGAAUACCAGUACUCAACCUGGACUAAAGAAUAAUACAGUACAACAACAACCCAUGUGUUCUCUUUGGAAGGAGGAAUUCACCAAUCACUAAAUGGGAUCUGCACUAAAGAGCAAUAGAGGGACCAUGUAAUACUUGACCUUAUUUGAGGAACAUCUAGCCACCAUGUUAGAACUAGUCUGAAGCAUUCAGAAGGACCGGUACAACAUCUACCCGUCAUCAGCUCUACCAGGAUGGGUCCACAUUGAAGGAGAUCUGAACCCCUGGAUCUCUUCACCAAAGAGGAAUAACACCAGGCUUCUCACCAUGGACUUGGAGGAAAACUCUGUCCUAGACCUGGAGUAGAGGGAGUAGUGGCUCUGUCCUAGACCUGGAG
rnacentral:lncRNA from 1 species